rnacentral:rRNA from 1 species
UACAGAGGUCUCAAGCGUUGUUCGGAUUCAUUGGGCGUAAAGGGUGCGUAGGUGGCGCCGUAAGUCAGGUGUGAAAUUUCGGAGCUUAACUCCGAAACUGCAUUUGAUACUGCGGUGCUUGAGGACUGGAGAGGAGACUGGAAUUCACGGUGUAGCAGUGAAAUGCGUAGAUAUGCGGAGGAACACCGAUGGCGAAGGCAAUCCCCUGGGCCUGCACUGACGCUCAUGCACGAAAGCGUGGGGAGCAAACAGG